rnacentral:rRNA from 1 species
UCGGCAAUGGGCGAAAGCCUGACCGAGCGACGCCGCGUGCGGGAUGAAGGCCUUCGGGUUGUAAACCGCUGUCGUUGGGGAGGAAGUGCAGGGGGGUUCUCCCCUCUGUUUGACCUAUCCAAGGAGGAAGUACGGGCUAAGUUCGUGCCAGCAGCCGCGGUAAGACGAACCGUACGAACGUUAUUCGGAAUUACUGGGCUUAAAGGGUGCGUAGGCUGCGCGGUAAGUUGGGUGUGAAAGCCCUCAGCUCAACUGAGGAACUGCACUCAAAACUACCGUGCUCGAGGGAGACAGAGGUAAGCGGAACUCAAGGUGGAGCGGUGAAAUGCGUUGAUAUCUUGAGGAACACCGGUGGCGAAGGCGGCUUACUGGGUCUUUUCUGACGCUGAGGCACGAAAGCUAAGGUAGCAAACGGGAUUAGAUACCCCGGUAGUCCUAGCCGUAAACGAUGAGCACUAGUCUGAGGGACUUUCACGGUUUCUCGGACGUAGCGAAAGUGUUAAGUGCUCCGCCUGGGGAGUAUGGUCGCAAGGCUGAAACUCAAAGG